GCCCAUAUGGCUCAGGGGUAGAGCACUUCCUUGGUAAGGAAGAGGUCGUGAGUUCAAGUCUCACUAUAGGCUCCA
rnacentral:tRNA from 1 species